rnacentral:lncRNA from 1 species
UAUGCACAAAGUCUCCCGGACAUGUUCUGAUCACGCCCUAAGUUUGCACAUCUUGGCCCGGACUUUGCACACUCCCAAAACAUCUCAAAUGGCCAAGUUGUGUAUCCUCGGGUUGUCUCGGUCCGUACGGAUCCGUACAGGUCCGUACCAUCCGUACUGCCUCGCCCUAAGUAUGCACACUUGCCCAUUUGCUCCCAAACACUCUUCUAAGUCCCUCCUGGACUUGGCCCUAUCUUUGCACAGCCAUAUGAGCACN